rnacentral:lncRNA from 1 species
CCAGUCGACGUUUCCCGGGAGCUACGACUCCAGGGACCCUCAUCCGAGCUUAACCGUUGGAACAAUCACAAACCCAGAAACUUUUAGCUGAGUGUUAUUUAUAAAAAGCGCUGUUUUGACUGCUGUUGGACUUGGAAAAGCUUUGCCCACGAUACUGAAGGGUAAUUAGCUGCCUACUUUUCAAAAUUAUGUGAUGACUUCAUGGGAAAAGAGAUUCACAAGAACCAGUAACAGGAAAGCUUAAAUAAGCUUGGAAAUCUUUAAACUUUCAAUAUCGGUAAGCAAUGAUCAUUUUUAAUCACCCAAAUUCAUAAGAUUUGAUCAAAGGAAAAAUGUAG